rnacentral:rRNA from 1 species
AUUGAACGCUGGCGGCAUGCCUUACACAUGCAAGUCGAACGGUAACAGGUCUUCGGAUGCUGACGAGUGGCGAACGGGUGAGUAAUGCAUCGGAACGUGCCUAGUAGUGGGGGAUAACUACUCGAAAGAGUGGCUAAUACCGCAUGAGAUCUACGGAUGAAAGCAGGGGAUCGCAAGACCUUGUGCUACUAGAGCGGCCGAUGGCAGAUUAGGUAGUUGGUGGGAUAAAAGCUUACCAAGCCGACGAUCUGUAGCUGGUCUGAGAGGACGAUCAGCCACACUGGGACUGAGACACGGCCCAGACUCCUACGGGAGGCAGCAGUGGGGAAUUUUGGACAAUGGGCGCAAGCCUGAUCCAGCAAUGCCGCGUGCAGGAUGAAGGCCUUCGGGUUGUAAACUGCUUUUGUACGGAACGAAAAGCCCUGGGUUAAUACCCUGGGGUCAUGACGGUACCGUAAGAAUAAGCACCGGCUAACUACGUGCCAGCAGCAGCCGCUGUAA